rnacentral:rRNA from 2 species
GGAUACGAUCAUACCAGCACUAAAGCACCGGAUCCAUCAGAACUCUGAAGUUAAGCAUGCUUGGGCGAGAGUAGAACUAGGAUGGGUGACCUCCUGGGAUGACCUCGUGUUGCAUUCC